UCUGCAUUUCAAACAACCUUCCUCCAAAGUGAGUUUAUAUGUAAGAAUUGACAGAACGAUCUCAGAUACCAGAAAUAUUUCCAGGGCCGUGGUAUCUUGUAAUGACUGCGAUGGAGGUUUUGUAGGUGGGAUCAGAGUCAUCUGCGAUUUGUUGUCAUCACCGUACAUAGUACUAACUAAUCACUGUCAUUCACCACACAUGUAGGCCAGAUGUGGACGUGGAGGAUGUUUCCUUGUAGGCCAGUUGUGGGCAUAGGAGUGCUGUAUAGCAGAGAGAAGAGAAUUCCUUUUCGUCUGCUUUUUAAAGAUUGUGUGAGUGAAAUGAUUGUCCCAGCUAGGGAGUAAAGCUGUGAUUGAAACUGUUUCCCCCUUGACUGUGGAAAGUUUAUAUUUUGUUUAAAAAAUUACAGGGAGGUGAAGUUGUAGGGAGAACAAAUGUAAUUAUAUCAUACUAUUUUAGUGUUAACCUGAGGGUGAGAUAUUUUUAAUAGCACUGAUUGUGUUGUGUGUUUAUUCUUAUACCACUGAAAUACAAGGGAGAAAUUGUUUUAGCUGCAUCCAGAAAAAAAGUGCUGACUGGAAGAAAGCAUUGAGUAUUCUCAAACAGUAGAGGGCAGUGGGAUAGUGAAUUGGACUUGAAGAGGCAAAUGAGCAACCCUGGUCUUCAAAUGUUAUGUCUUCAGCAAUAACAUGGUGUAUUCAUGGGGGGGACCUUGGUUGGCUAAUAACAAUGUCCUGAAGGAGACCCAAGAGGAAAUGUUCAAAGUAACUGCCCAAUGAAAAUAUAAUGUUUUGUUAAGUCAUACCCAAAAUUCCUGCUCAAAUGGACUGUAUAAAAAAUGCUGUGGGGUCAUAACGUCAUACUCCCAAGGAGGAUGAGGUGGCUAAUCUGCUGUCUAAAGAUGGAUGAGAACAAAUGUAACAGACUACUAGCAUAGAUAUAUUAAUUGACCGUAAUUUGCCUGCAUUAUUCUGUUAUCGGGGGAAUGCCUAUAACAUUGCAACACAUAGAAGCUGCUUUUUAAUAUACUUAAUUACCAGUAAGGAAAGACAAAUAUUUAGUCGUACUGUUAGUAAUUACAGUUCAUAUCACUGGGCAGUUACUUUAAUAAUGGUUUGAGUUAUGGGUUGAUUAAAAUAGCUUGUAAUUCAAGACUUUCCUGUUCGGAAUUAGAUGAUUAAAAUAAUGCCUGUGUUUUCUCCCCAGCGUAGGCAAUAUUCAAUGUAUGGCCACUUUGUUAUGCACCAGACUUCAAGGGGAUAUUAUGGGUGAUUUAUAUUUGCAUUUAUUUUAUUGGUCAAGUAAACAGAGGAAUGAAGAUUUAAGUAUUUAAAAUGUUGUGUUUGCUGUUAUAAUUUAUAUGGCUGUGACUUCAGUUGUAAAUGUCUUGUUUUAUAUUAAAAAAAGAAAAAUACAGAAAGAUUCCCCAAACAGCUGUUUAUUGUAUGUUUUUUGUAAUGUCUAACAAAAGAAACAGU
rnacentral:lncRNA from 1 species